GCGCUUUUACUAUAUAUUUCAAAUGUGUUUCUUAAUGCCACCGUCUCGUUUAGCAGUCCACACCGUUGAAACAAAAAGCCUAAUGGAGCACGAGGUGGUCGAAGGCAUGGCAAGAAAAGAAGGGAAGGAAAGAGGCAGGAAGCGAGCUGAGAUGACUUGGAUGCACGGAAGCUACUGCCCUCCACCCGAACAAGAAAGGAAGCUUCUGUUGGUGGCAUUUCUCCGCAGUCUUCCAGCUUUUCAGACGUCUGCUGCUGCCCAAUGGAGACUCGCAGCGGCUACCGAUCAUCGUCUUCUUGUAUUAU
rnacentral:lncRNA from 1 species